rnacentral:rRNA from 1 species
GACGAACGCUGGCGGCGUGCUUAACACAUGCAAGUCGAACGGAAAGGCCCUGCUUUUGUGGGGUGCUCGAGUGGCGAACGGGUGAGUAACACGUGGAUAACCUACCUAUAAGACUGGGAUAACUUCAGGAAACCGGAGCUAAUACCGGAUAAUAUAUUGAACCGCAUGGUUCAAUAGUGAAAGAUGGGUUUGCUGGCACUUAUCGAUCGAUUCGCGCCGCAGUAGCUGGUUGGUAAGGUAACGGCUUACUAAGGCGACGAGGCGCAGCCGAACGGGGCGGGGGAUCGGCGACACGGGAGGGGGGACGCGCUCAAGACUCCUACGGGAGGCAGCAGUAGGGAAUCUGACGCAAUGGGCGAAAGCCUGACGGAGCAACGGCGCGUGAGUGAUGAAGGUCUUCGGAUCGUAAAGCUCUGUUAUGAGGGGAGAACAAAUGUGUAAGUAACUAUGCACGUCUUGACGGUACCUAAUCAGAAAGCCACGGCUAACUACGUG